rnacentral:lncRNA from 1 species
UCCACACAUCAUCUAGAACAAGCAGAUAUUUCUUCCCACUAAUAAUUUUUUCCAGUCUAGACUUCAAUGCUUCUAACCCAAGAUCUUCCGAUUUAUUCCCUGUUGCAGACUCUAGAAUCUUUCCAACAGUCAUUUUCACAUCAAAAGGUUCUGAAACACACACCCAUAUUCUUGGCUCAAAUGAAUUCUUAAUCAUUUCAUCAUUCAAUAUGAUUUGAGCAAGAGUGGUCUUCCCUAAUCCUCCAAUUCCAACAAUUGAGAGGACUGAAACACACUCUUCACCAUUGGAAGACAAUACAAGUUGUGUAAUUGCCUUUUUGUCACCCUCUCUCCCAAUAACCACUUCAGGUAAAGAGGACGUAGUUUGAUCCCUCCAUACAAUACUCUCCUGAUCAGUACGAACCUCUAAAUUAAAUUUUCUGUCAGCUUCAAUAUCAGCUAGCCUCUCCCUAAUCGCCUUAACUUUAUGACCCAUUUUAAAACCAUAAACAAGUUUAUUUGAAGACGAAAAGAAGAGACUUACCUCCUUUGUCAUUCUAUUUCCAGUCAUCACUCGGCGCCUUAGGGCUUCUGUGGCGAAGUCAUCUACCAAAUCAUCAGCAUCAUAAACCACUUCUUCUAGCCUCUCAAGCCAGCAUUUCACUUGACGGUUAAGUUUCUGCUGCUCCUCAGCAUCCAGAAGAACGUUGCGAAUACUAGAAACUGUGGCCUCAAGUUUCUUAAGCUCACCUUUGACGCCCCACCACAAUCCGAUCUCAUGAAGGGCUCGAGAACCCAGCUUGGUAAUGAUAUCUCCGACAACGUUAGAGAGAACUCCGUCGGNNNNNNNNNNNNNNNNNNNNNNNNNNNNNNNNNNNNNNNNNNNNNNNNNUUUAAAUAAAAAAAAAAAAAAAGAAGUGGAGGAAAAAGCGGUCCGUUAACUUUGGACGGCGCUGGUUUGCUUUAAUUUAAAAAGUAAAAUAUAUUAAUAAAUUUAUAUAUAGAAUGAAAGUUAGUUAUUUUUUAUAAAAUAAUUUUAUUUUUUAUUAAAUAAAUUUUAUGAGUGAUUUAAAUCGUUAAAAAAUAUAAAAUAUAUUUUUGAUGUUACUAAAAUUUUGUUAUUGAAAUGAAAGUAUUUUUAUAUAUUUUGUGAUGAUGUAUAAAGUUACAUUAGGUAUAAUAUGAUGUAUAGUAAAUUUAUUAUGAGUUUUAAUGACUUUAAAUCGAUUUAAAUUUUAAUAUUGAUAGCGGUUCAAUUUCUGAAUUAUUAUCGAAAUGUAUAGCAGGAGCUCAAGAGUAUCCUGUUGCAUAUUAUAGAUCCAUCGAUAUAAAAAAUAUGGCAUAUGCACACAUUCAGGAUUUAGAGAUUCCUUCAGCUAGUGGCAGAUAUUGUUUAAUUAAAAGAGAUGUCCACUUCUCUGAGGUUUUGAAGAUUGUGUCAGCAACAUUAUCCUACAUUGCACCUUCCAAAAAACUAUGGUUUUUUUUAUAUUUUUGCAUGCUCAUGUUGGACCAGCUAUAUGAAUGGCUAAGAUAUAUAAUUAUUUGGAUAACUGAGAAAUAGUUAUUUUGAAUGAUUAAUUUGAUCAUGGAAUAUAAUCUGAGUUGCAGAUGUGGCUCUGAAUUGAAUUACUUAACAAAGUAUGAGGUAUCAAAGAAAAAAGCGAAAACUUUGGAUAUUGAUUUCAUUCCUUUGGAGGUUAGUUGAAGGACACUAUUGAAAGCUUGAAGGAGAAGAGCCUCCUCAGCAUUUGAUUUUGGCUGUCGGAUAAAAAGCAAUGCAAAUAUUACAUUGGCCUUUCAGGUUCAUUGGCUUUAGCUUUCUAUUGGUGUAAGGUAUUAUUGCCCUUCAGAAUUGUCUUUAUUUAAAAAAAGUGAACCCAUACAAUUUGUAAAAUAUAUUAAAAUUUGUAUACAGCUGUAUAUAAACAUAUUACAUGUGUCGCUUGUUUCUGGUAGAUAAAGUUCAUUUCAGGUCUGAUUUCUGAGGAAGUUGCUCUUUUUUUUUAUCUGAUUUCAAGUCUCAUUCCAAAGAAGAAGACACAAGAAAAAGAAAAUGUGUAAUCCACCAAUUCAGAUUUAGUUCAGUCUUUUCAAAGUAUAUUCAGAUUUCAUAGCCAAUUCAUUUAAUGCUGUAUCUGAUUUCUGGUUCUUGUGAUACGCUCUUACAAAAUUCAUUUAAAAUUCAGUACUCUUACACAUUUUGGAAACACAAUUUAUACAAAAACUGAUUUCUCAGGAAAAAAAAGGAAAAUAAUGUUAUUUGCAUUGAAUGAACAAAUGAUUAGCAUAGUAGCAAAACUACUUAAAAUAAGAGAAAUUAGAAACCAAAAAGCAGCACAGCAUGAGUCUGGGCAUUGCAUGUUGGAUGAUCGAAACAGAGGUCUUGAGUGCGAAUCUAGAUCCUGAAAUACGCAGGCCUGCAAAAAGUCAUUCGAAGAAGUGUGCAAAACUCCCAUCAUUCAGCUUUCUUUCUGCUUCCCGCUCAGCAGGAUUACUAUGUACUGAGACAGAUAGGAAACUUAUCCCGGUGAGUUUUUAUUCCGGGAUGUCAAGGGCACAAUGCGCAGCUUAGUGAAUCUCCAUCAUCUUUGCCACAGGUGUAAGUUAUGAAGAUAGUUGCUAGAUGGAGGAUUUUCACACUAGUGAUUAAGCAUCUGUUUCAAGCCAGAAUCAUCAUUAAAUCACAGAUUUGCUUUACAAGCAAUAACUAGAGGGAUUUCAUAUUACAAGUAGAGUCUUUAUAACCUACUGAAUCGCUUAUUUACGAAGACAGAAGAAUAGGAGAGCUCACGUUUUGUUUUUACUGCACAAAUACUGCAUAUGGAAUCUGAGUGAGAAGUUACUCCCUAAAAAUUUCAAAAGUGUUUUUGAGAGGUACCUUUGAGCGAAUCUUCUGGCAACAGACUCAAAGAAGUCAUCCAAUAAGUAGAAAUUCUUCUAUGGAAGGCCACACACAUUAAUAGCAGUUCUUUCAAGGCGAAUUAUGCCAAGCCAAUCAAGGAAUUGCUGCCAUGGCAUGUAGUUGUGGUUUCUUAAUGUGUUCGAGUAACUUCUGCACAAGGAAUCAAAUUAAUCUUUAAAUCCGUGAAAUUAAAAGGGAUGCAGAAUUACAAAACUAAUAAUAAGAACAAUAAUAAUAAGAUGGAUAGAAGCAUGACCUGCCAAUGCAUGAUUUCGGCAAGCCUUUGCUUUGGUUCACCACUUCCCAAUGUAGUAAGAAUUUCAACAGCAUCCCAGAAUUUCAAUAGCAUCCCAAUGAUAACUCAUACUUGAUGAGCCUUGAUGGAGAAAUGAAAGUCCAGUUAAAAUUAUUCAAAAUGCAUAUCCACUCGCCAAGAACAUAUGCACCCAGAAAUCUCCUUAAAUAAAUAAGGUUUUAACAAGGUGAAUGCUUUGCUUUUUCUUUUUUUGGGAAGAACUUCAAAGUAAACAAAGGUAAGACUAUUGGGUUUUGAUGUUUACCUUGUGUGGGAGAAAUGUGAUGUUUACCCAGAAAUCACAUUUUGUUUUCAGAAUAAAUGGUUUUUUCCACCUCUGCAUUUGACAUUGAAAAAACUUGAAUAAAUACCAAAUAAUUAAGAUAUGCUGCUGAUUUAAUUUACAAAGGAAUGGCGCAUGUGAAGAGAAAUUGACAUAUGACAAUCACCUUCAGCACAAUCAAUUCUCAUCCUAAUUUAGAAGACUAAUCAAACUAAUUGCAGCAAUAACAUCUUUUCCACGAAGUCUACUAACUUCUGCACAUAGAGUCAAAAUUAAUCCGUUAUAUCCAUGAAAAGAAUGAAGGCAGAAUUACAUUAAAAAAUGAAUAAAAAUGACGGUUAAAAGAAAGACCUGCCAAUGCAUUUAAAAUCUCUUUGAAUUUGUUUCCCACAUCCCAAUUUAUUAGAAUUUCAGGUGAGUAAAAAACAAAUAAAUGAUUCCUCUAGCUUGAUGAGCCUGUACAUGUGGGAAAAAAGUGUUAAAAUAUUAUCAUAAAGCAAAUAAAUUCUCAAUUAUACAAAAAAUAAAAGAAAGAAAAGGUACUCUGUAUAUUGAUCUUGAUUGUAAAGAAAUAAUGACAAAAGGUACUCUGUAUAUUGAUCUUGAUUGUAAAGAAAUAAUGACAAAAGGAUACUUACGAACUCAAAGGUAAUACACUGCUCAUUUUGGAAGAAACACAUCCAACACUUCAAAACUUAUCCUUCAUUGAUCUGUGUAAAUAGAAUCAUAGAGUGAAGAUUUUCUCAUGUAAGUUUAAUUUGCAAAUUGGAGAGAAAAAGGACCAACUUACCGAAGCUUCAUCAUCCAGUAGAUAGCGGCCCUCUCUUUGAAUUCUUUGGUCAUCAACUUCAAUAUUUGGGAUGUGAGAAAUGAAAGCCCAAUCCGCACCCUUUCUAUUUCCACAUCUUUCCUUCAAUUGGGGACGGUCAUUGAUAUUCAAUUCUCGUAACGAGGUGAGGGAACGCAUCUCUUGAGGCAGACACUUUAUUGCCGGACAAAUCUGAAUGGUUAGUCUUUGAAGACAAGUGAGAUUCCACAGUCCAUCUGGAGGUAGAGAUUCCAGCUCUUCAAUGUCCGUAAUCUGAAGGAUCUUCAAUUUAGAGAGAGGAGGAAUGAUUGAGGAAGAAGAAGAGAUUGAUGGUGUGAAUAUUUGGUGCACAAGUUGUGGGCUUGCGCAGUGCAAAUAUAGUGAAUGAUCGAGAGAUGGAAACUGAGGGAUGGAGUUCAAAUUAGGGCAGUCCCUACAAACGAAAUACGAAAGACAAGGAAAUUGGAGUAGCUCAAGAGCUGUCGAAUCAUCCUUCUUCUUCUGCAAUCCUUUAAGCUUAGGACAACCAUAUAGCACGAGAACCCUUAGGGAUGGAAAGAAUGAUGUUGCUUGUCCCUCAAUCUCAAUGUACUCUAAAUCAUCUACUUCACGAAUAUGUAGAUAUUGAAGAGAAGGGAUUUGAUCCAUUGGUGGGAGAUGCUGAUAUCUAUUGCAAUUCCGUAUACAGAGAUAGACAAGAUUCGUGAGGGAAGAGAACCAACUUGGGAACCUCCUGCCUCCAUUGCCAAGCACACGUAACUCUUUAAGAUUGGGAUGCGGUUGGAGAUUUUGGAAUGCCAUUUCAUCUCUAUCAACAUUUGAAUCUUCCCAACUCUCCUCGCAACGUAAUUCCAAUGAUUGAAGGACUGGUUUCUCUUUCAUAUUAACAUUUACAAUCUCAUUAUCCACACAACCCAGAUUUAUAAUUUCAAGACGUCCCCUCAAAUUCUUAAGCUUAUUCAGUUCAUUUAUUUUUUCAACAUCCUUUGAGGAAAUAUGCCCUUUUGCCACUACGAACAGCGACAACGUCUGAAGUGAAGUCAACUGCCCAAGCCCACGUGGCAUAUGAGUCAAAGAGUAACAACCUUCACAAUAUAAAUGCCUAAGAUUUACAAGCUUUUUAAUAUCUUUAGGCAAUUCUUUGAGCUGGACACAGUAAGAGACAUCUAAUACUUGUAAAUUCAGCAAAUCGGUAAUAGAAUGUGAAAGUGCUUUAAGUCCCUUGUUAUCGGAACGUCAAGAUAUCUUAUAUAUUUUAGCAUUUUUAAAGAAUUAUCCAUCGUUGUAUAUGAAUGCAUCAUAAAUACACGUAAAAAUUUUAAAUUUUUAUAAAUAAAUAGUUGAUCGCAAUCAUAUUUCUCAAGCAAAAGAAGCGAUCGUACUCUUUUUGCGUUAUUAAGAAUUUCUUUUGAUGCAACAUCCAAAUUCAAUGCUACAUGAUGGAUUUUCUCAUUAAUAUUUAGUAUAUCAGAAUUUACUAGCUGAAUCCUCUUCCCACCCACUGUGGUUGCGAGAUCGUGCAUUAAAUCAUGCAUUUUACAGCUCUCUACAUUUCCAUAUCUAUCUCUUUCCACUUCUUGAAAAAAUGACCUCCACCACAGUUUCAUAAAAUAUUCAAGCCUAAUAUCUUCAAGAUAAUCACUCGUACUUGGUGACUCAAUAAACCCUUGUGCAAUCCAAAGAUGGAUUAAUCUUUUCACAUCAAUCACAUAAUCUUUUGGAUAUAUUGCGCAAUAUGCAAAACAAUGCUUCAAAUGUGAUGGGAGAUGAUCAUAACUUAGCUUCAGUGUUGGCAUAAUAUCAUUACCAUCUUGACUUAUUCUUGAGAGUUCUUUUGUUAAAAAGGGCAGCCACUCAGUUUCUGGAUUUUUCGCAUACAAGAGACUUGCGAUGGUUUUUAUUGCAAGAGGAACUCUAUGACAUUUCUUCAAAAUCUCCUUUCCCAUCUCUCUUACAUUUGCAUGUUUUGGCUCCUGCCCCUCAAGUGCUACAUGCAAAAACAAAGACCAAGACUCAUCCGGAGACAACCCUUCCAAAACAUGUGGUGCCAUUGUGCUAGAUAUAUCUGCCACCUUUUUAGAGCGAGUGGUUAUUAAUAUCUUACUUCCACUAGAGCCACCCACUAAUAAUCUCUUUAAAUUCUCCCAUUUUUCUCUAUUCUCAUUCCACACAUCAUCUAGAACAAGCAGAUAUUUCUUCCCACUAAUAAUUUUUUCCAGUCUAGACUUCAAUGCUUCUAACCCAAGAUCUUCCGGUCUAUUCCCUGUUGCAGACUCUAGAAUCUUUCCAACAGUCAUUUUCACAUCAAAAGGUUCUGAAACACACACCCAUAUUCUUGGCUCAAAUGAAUUCUUAAUCAAUUCAUCAUUGAAUAUGAUUUGAGCAAGAGUGGUCUUCCCUAAUCCUCCAAUUCCAACAAUUGAGAGGACUGAAACACACUCUUCACCAUUGGAAGACAAUACAAGUUCUGUAAUUGCCUUUUUGUCACCCUCUCUCCCAAUAACCACUUCAGGUAAAGAGGACGUAGUUUGAUCCCUCCAUACAAUACUCUCCUGAUCCGUACGAAACUCUAAAUUAAAUUUUCUGUCAGCUUCAAUAUCAGCUAGCCUCUCCCUAAUCUCCUUAACUUUAUGACCCAUUUUAAAACCAUAAACAAGUUGAUUUGAAGACGAAAAGAAGAGACUUACCUCCUUUGUCAUUCUAUUUCCAGUCAUCACUCGGCGCCUUAGAGCUUCUGUGGCGAAGUCAUCUACCAAGUCAUCAGCAUCAUAAACAACUUCUUCUAGCCUCUCAAGCCAGCCUUUCACUUGACGGUUAAGUUUCUGCUGCUCCUCAGCAUCCAGAAGAACGUUGCGAAUACUAGAAACUGUGGCCUCAAGUUUCUUAAGCUCACCUUUGACGCCCCACCACAAUCCGAUCUCAUGAAGGGCUCGAGAACCCAGCUUGGUAAUGAUAUCUCCGACAACGUUAGAGAGAACUCCGUCGGCCAUUUUGGGCGUUUUGGUUUGAUUGUAAAAGGAUGAAAUGUUGCUGUGAAGAAGAAGACGGUGACAACAAAUGACUGAUUUAAAGAAAAAAAAAGAAGUGGAGGAAAAAGCAUUCUUCUAAAUGAUUAUCUUCGGUCGGUCAACUUUGAACGGCGCUGGUUUGCUUUUUAAAUAAUAUAUUAAUACAUUUAUAUAUAUACAGAUGGAAAGAAAGUUAUUUUUUAAAAAAUAAUUUUAUUUUUUAUUAGAAAUGCAUUUUUUUUAAUUAAAUUUGAUGAGUGAUUCAAAUAUUAAAAAAUAUAAAAUAUAUAUAUACAGAUGGAAAGAAAGUUAUUUUUUAAAAAAUAAUUUAAUUUUUAAUAGAAAUGUAUUUUUUUUAAUUAAAUUUGAUGAGUGAUUCAAUUAUUAAAAAAUAUAAAAUAUAUUUUCGAUAUUGCUGAGAUUAAAUUGAUGUUGUAGUCGGAAUGAAACUGUACUAUAAUUGGUUAGAAUUUAUAAGAGAGGAAAUAUGAGAUAGUGGUGGGUACCUAUAGCAGCAAGGCAGUGAUGAGUACCUAUGACAGCUACUGUGACGCUAAAGUCAGUAUUUUGAAAAAUAGAAAAAAUUUAAUGAAUAACUUAGAGUUUGAGUAGUAUCAUAGAUAAUGUACCUUUAUCUUCGUAAUCGUUCUCCUUUUAUACUAUGAGAAAAUGUAUAUAAAUAUAUCAUGAAACAACAGGGCCUAAACUGGUCCAAAUAACUUUUGGACUCACUUUUCACUUGACCCAAAAUGGUUAAUUCAGGUUAUUUAGUAGUUUCGUGCUAGCUAUUAUAUACAAUUCCAAAAUCUCCCGAUGUGGGACAGCUUUCGCAGCGGAAGCGAACAGCUGACCAUUACACUCGAUCCCGCUAAAUUUGCGACGUCCUCGUCGCAGUUGAAUUGGAUACAAUUGCUAAUUAGGACCGAACCCUUAGGUAUUGUGGUUCGCUAGUACGUCGGGCGGCUCCACCUCGUCUCACACGGGUAGCUCUUUCCUUACAGGCUCACUAGCUCUACAUAAUUUGUUUGAUCUAGAGUGGCUCUAAUACCAAUUGAAACAGUCAGGUCCAAACUUGCUCAAAUAACUUUUGGACCCACUUUCUACUUUGCCCAAAAUAGUUAAUCUAAGUUAUUUAGUAGUUUUGUGCUACCUAUUAUAUACAAUUCCGAUUUUCUAUAAUCUCCCGGUGUGGGACGGCUUCCGCAGUGGAAGCAGGUAGCUGACCGUUGCACUUGGUCCCGCUAAAUUUGCGACGUCCUCGUCGCAACUGAAUCGGAUACAAUUGCUAACCAGGAUCGAACCCUUAGGUAUUGUAGUUCGCUAGUACCUCGAGCGGCUCCACCUCGUCUCACACGGGUAGCCCUUUCCUCGUAGGCCCACUAGCACAAUUUGUAUCUAGGGUGGCUCUAAUACCAAUUGAAACAGUCGGGUCCAAACUGGCCCAAAUAACUUUUGGACCCACUUUCCACUUGUCCCAAAAUGGUUAACUCAAGUUAUUUAAUAGUUUCGUGCUAACUAUUAUAUACAAUUUCGAUUUUCUAUAAUCUCCCAAUGUGGGACAGCUUCCGCAGCGGAAACAGGUAGCUGAUCGUUAUAAUCGGUCUCGCUAAAUUUGCGAUGUCCUCGUCGCAACUGAAUUUGAUACAAUUGCUAACCAAGACCGAACCUUUAGGUACUGUGGUUCGCUAGUACCUCUGGCGGCUCCACCUCAUCUAACACGGGUAGCUCUUUCCUCGCAGGCCCACUAGCUCUGCACAAUUUGUCUAACUCAGGGUGGCUCUGAUACCAAUUAAAAUAGUCGGGCCUAACCUGCCCCCAAAGGUUUGACUUUUGAAUCUGUGAGCGGACUUUAGGCCGUCGAACCUGCUGCCGAAAGUGCCCUGUCCAGCCUUUUUCAGCUUGCUUCCUACGUGUGUUCUUCUAUGUUCUUAGGGGGUAGUUUUAAGUGUUGUAAAAGUUAUAUUUGGUUCCUCAUUUAAGUCCAUCUGUGUAGGAUCGGACUUGGAAGAUCGUAGAAACUUGCAGUAAGAUAACUGUAUCAAAAUUAGGCGUGCGUCAGCCAGAGGUGAGUAGAACUAAACUCAAUUAUUAUUUUAAAAAAACCAAAUGUUUUAAGCAUACUUAUGCAUCACAAAUGCUAUGUAUAUAUAUGAUUAUGGUGCUUUGCAUUAGAAUUCACGAAUAUAAUGCAUUGCAUAAUUUAUUAUUGUUGUUGAUGUAUGUUAGAUGACCUUCUAGCCCUCAAGUAUGUUAUGGUAUGUUAUGACGGAUAUGGAAAGAGCAGGACUUGCUCAUUCUACGCCCUUGGCACUGUGUAAGGGAAAGACCAGGGUUACACAUUUUAUAUCCGUGGCACUAUGGAUAUGUUAUUUUAUGUUUAAGAGGAAAUUCUGAAAAGCGCUUGUCGUGGGCUGGGCACUAUUGGAAUCUAUAGAGAGUCACUGGUGACAAGUCUAUCUUGAUAUGAAUUGUUUGUGUUGUGACACAUUUAUACGAUCAUAUGUCUUAUUAAACUGCUUUUGUUAUGUUUCUGCUCACUAGCCUCUUAUAGUUUAUCCCUUUUCCCUAACUCCAGAUUUGCAGGAUCAGAAUUAGCUCGAGAGGUGGGCCGAGGUGUUGGUAUAGUCCAUUGUAAUAACAUAGUUGUGGACAUGUAUUAAUUUGUGAAUUUGAAUUGUGUUUUGCGUGAGUUUUCUUUAUAAUCCUUAUUUUAUGAUUUUUUUAUGUAAAAGAUUUUAAGUCUAAAUUAUGUUUGAACUAAGCUUGAGGUGUGUAAUAUUGACUAUACUAAAACAUUUGAUGAGAGCUCUAGUAUGAAUUUAUGUUUCCAGUUCUGAUACAUGCGCAGGUCAAGUUUUUGUUAUUGAAAUAGAAGUGUUUUUACAUGUUUGUGUGAUUAUGUAUGGAUCUAUAUCAAAUGUAACAGGAUGUAUAGUAAAUUUGCUAUGAGUUCCGGCAACCUUAGAUUGAUCUGAACCGUAGUGCCGAUAGCGGUCUGAGUUGCAGAUGUGGCUCCGAAUUGAAUUAUUUAACAAAGUAUGGGGUAUCAAAGGAAAAAAGUGAAAACUUUGGGUAUUGACUUCAUUCCUUUGGAGGUUAGUCUGAAGGACACUAUUGAAAGCUUGAAGGAUAAGGGCUUCCUCAGCAUUUAAUAUUGGCUGUUGGAUAAAAAGCAAUGCAAAUAUUACAUUGGCUUUUCAGGUUCAUUGGCUUUAGCUUCCUAUUGGUGCAAGAUAUUAUUACCCUUCAGGAUUGUCUUUAUUUGAAAAAAGUGGACCAAUACAAUUUGUAAAAUACAUAACAAUUUGUAUACAACUGUAUAUAAACAUAUUACAUGUGUCACUUGUUUCACUGGUGGAUGAAGUUCAUUUCAGGUCUGAUUUCUGAGGAAGUUACUCUUUUUUUUAUCUGAUUUCAGGUCUCAUUCCAAAGAAUAAGACACAAGAAAAAGAAAAUGUGUAAUCCACCAAUUCAGAUUUAGUUCAGUCUUUUCAAAGUAUAUUCAGAUUUCAUAGCCAACUCAUUUUAUGCUGUAUCUGAUUUCUGGUUCUUGUGAUAUGCUCUUACAAAAUUCAUCUAAAAUUCAGUGCUCUUACACAUUCUGGAAACAACAAUUUAUACAAAAACUGAUUUCUCAGGGAAAAAAAGGAAAAUAAUGUUAUUUGCAUUGAAUGAACAAAUGAUUAGCAUAGUAGCAAAACUACUUAAAAUAAGAGAAAUUAGAAACAAAAAAGCAGCACAGCAUGAGUCUGGGCAUUGCAUGUUGGAUGAUCGAAACAGAGGUGUUGAGUGAGAAUCUAGAUCCUGAAAUACGCGGGCCUGCAAAAAGUCAUUCGAAGAAGUGUGCAAAACUCCCAUCAUUCAGCUUUCAUUUCUGCUUCCGGCUUAGCAGGAUUACUAUGUACUGAGUUGUUUUCUGAACUGUGACAGAUAGGAAACUUAUCCCGGUGAGAUUUUAUUCCGGAAUGUCAAGGGCACAAUGCGUAGCUUAGUGAAUCUCCAUCAUCUUUGCCGCAGGUGUAAGUUAUGAAGAUAAUUGCUAGAUGGAGGAUUUUCACACUAGUAAUUUAGCAUCUGUUUCAAGCCAGAAUCAUCAUUAAAUCACAGAUUUGCUUUACAAGCAAUAACUAGGGGGAUUUCAUAUUACAAGUAGUCUUUAUAACUUACUGAAUCGCUUAUUUUUGAAGACAGAGGAUGAGGAGAGCUCACGUUUUGUUUUUACUGCACAAAUACUGCAUAUGGAAUCUGAGUGAGGAGUUACUCUCUAAAAAUUUCAAAAGUGUUUUUGAGAGGUACCUUUGCGUGAAUCUUCUGGCAACAGACUCAAAGUAGUCAUCCAAUAAGUAGAAAUUCUUCUAUGGAAGGCCACACACAUUAAUAGCAGUUCUUUCAAGGCGAAUUAUGCCAAGCCAAUCAAGGAAUUGCUGCCAUGGCAUGUAGUUGUGGUUUCUUAAUGUGUUCGAGUAACUUCUGCACAAGGAAUCAAAUUAAUCUUUAAAUCCGUGAAAUUAAAAGGGAUGCAGAAUUACAAAACUAAUAAUAAUAACAAUAAUAAUAAGAUGGAUAGAAGCAUGACCUGCCAAUGCAUGAUUUCGGCAAGCCUUUGCAUUGGUUCACCACUUCCCAAUGUAGUAAGAAUUUCAACAGCAUCCCAGAAUUUCAAUAGCAUCCCAAUGAUAACUCAUACUUGAUGAGCCUUGAUGGAGAAAUGAAAGUCCAGUUAAAAUUAUUCAAAAUGCAUAUCCACUCGCCAAGAACAUAUGCACCCAGAAAUCUCCUUAAAUAAAUAAGGUUUUAACAAGGUGAAUGCUUUGCUUUUUCUUUUUUUGGGAAGAACUUCAAAGUUAACAAAGGUAAGACUAUUGAGUUUUGAUGUUUACCUUGUGUGGGAGAAAUAUGAUGUUUACCCAGAAAUCACAUUUUGUUUUCAGAAUAAAUGGUUUUUUCCACCUCUGCAUUUGACAUUGAAAAAACUUAAAUAAAUACCAAACAAUUAAGAUAUGCUGCUGAUUUAAUUUACAAAGGAAUGGUGCAUGUGAAGAGAAAUUGACAUAUGACAAUCACCUUCAGCACAAUCAAUUCUCAUCCUAAUUUAGAAGACUAAUCAAACUAAUUGCAACAAUAACAUCUUCUCCACGACGUCUACUACCUUCCGCACAUAGAGUCAAAAUUAAUCCGUUAUAUCCAUGAAAAGAAUGAAGGCAGAAUUACAUUAAAAAAUGAAUAAAAAUGAUGGCUAAAAGAAAGACCUGCCAAUGCAUUUAAGAUCUCUUUGAAUUUGUUUCCCACAUCCCAAUUUAUUAGAAUUUCAGGUGACUAAAAAACAAAUAAAUGAUUCCUCUAGCUUGAUGAGCCUGCAUAUGUGGGAAAAAAGUGUUAAAAUAUUAUCAUAAAGCAAAUAAAUUCUCAAUUAUAAAAAAAAAAAUAAAAGAAAAAAAAAGGUACUCUGUAUAUUGAUAUUGAUUGUAAAGAAAUAAUGACAAAAGGAUACUUACGACUCAAAGGUAAUACACUGCUCAUUUUGGAAGAAACACAUCCAACACUUCAAAACUUAUCCUUCAUUGAUCUGUGUAAAUAGAAUCAUAGAGUGAAGAUUUUCUCAUGUAAGUUUAAUUUGCAAAUUGGAGAGAAAAAGGACCAACUUACCGAAGCUUCAUCAUCCAGUAGAUAGCGGCCCUCUCUUUGAAUUCUUUGGUCAUCAACUUCAAUAUUUGGGAUGUGAGAAAUGAAAGCCCAAUCCGCACCCUCUCUAUUUCCACAUCUUUCCUUCAAUUGGGGACAGUCAUUGAUAUUCAAUUCUCGUAACGAGGUGAGGGAACGCAUCUCUUGAGGCAGACACUUUAUUGCCGGACAAAUGUCAAUGGUUAGUCUUUGAAGACAAGCGAGAUUCCGCAGUCCAUCUGGAGGUAGAGAUUCGAGCUCUUAAAUAUUUUAACAUUUUUAUAGAAUUAUCCAUCGUUCUUCUAUAUGAAUAUAUAGUAAAUACACGCAAAAAUUUUAAAUUUUUAUAAAUAAAUAGCUGAUUGACAUCAUGUUUCUUAAACAAAAGAAUCGAUCGUACUCUUUUAGCAUUGUUAAGAAUUUCUUGUGGUGCAACAUCUAAAUUCAAUGCUACAUGAUGGGUUUUCUCAUCAAUAUUUGGUGUAUUAAAAUUUACUAGCUGAAUCCUCUUCUCAUCCACUCUAGUUGCGAGAUUGUGCAUUAAAUCAUGCAUUUUACAGCUUUCGACAUUUCCACAUCUAUCUCUUUUCACCUCUUGAAAAAAUGACCUCCACCACAGUUUCAUAAAAUAUUCAAGCCCAAUAUCUUCAAGACAAUCACUGGUACCUGGUGACUCAAUAAACCCUUGUGCAACCCAAAAAUGGAUUAAUGUUUUCACAUCAAUCACAUAAUCUUUUGGAUAUAUUGCGCAAUAUGCAAAACAAUGCUUCAAAUGUGAUGGGAGAUGAUCAUAGCUUAGUUUCAGUGUUGGCAUAAUAUCAUUACCAUCUUGACUUAUUCUUGAGAGUUCUUUUCUCAAAAAGGGCAGCCACUCAGUUUCUGGAUUUUUCGCAUACAAGAGACUUGCGAUAGUUUUUAUUGCAAGAGGAACUCCAUGACAUUUCUUCAGAAUCUCCUUUCCCUUCUCUCUUACAUUUGCAUGUUUUGGCUCCUGCCCCUCAAGUGCUACAUGCAAAAACAAAGACCAAGACUCCACCACAGAUAAGCCUUCCAAAACAUGUGGUGCUAUUGUGCCAGAUAUAUCUGCCACCUUUUUAGAGCGAGUGGUUAUUAAUAUCUUACUUCCACUAGAGCCACCCACUAAUAAUCUCUUUAAAUUCUGCCAUGUUUUUCUAUUCUCAUUCCACACAUCAUCUAGAACAAGCAGAUAUUUCUUCCCACAAAUAAUUUUUUCCAGUCUAGACUUCAAUGCUUCUAACUCAAGAUCUUCCGAUUUAUUCCCUGUUGCAGACUCUAGAAUCUUUCCAACAGUCAUUUUCACAUCAAAAGGUUCUGAAACACACACCCAUAUUCUUGGCUCAAAUGAAUUCUUAAUCAAUUCAUCAUUCAAUAUGAUUUGAGCAAGAGUGGUCUUCCCUAAUCCUCCAAUUCCAACAAUUGAGAGGACUGAAACACACUCUUCACCAUUGGAAGACAAUACAAGUUCUGUAAUUGCCUUUUUGUCACCCUCUCUCCCAAUAAUCACUUCAGGUAAAGAGGACGUAGUUUGAUCCCUCCAUACAAUACUCUCCUGAUCAGUACGAACCUCUAAAUUAAAUUUUCUGUCAGCUUCAAUAUCAGCUAGCCUCUCCCUAAUCGCCUUAACUUUAUGACCCAUUUUAAAACCAUAAACAAGUUGAUUUGAAGAUGAAAAGAAGAGACUUACCUCCUUUGUCAUUCUAUUUCCAGUCAUCACUCGGCGCCUUAGAGCUUCUGUGGCGAAGUCAUCUACCAAGUCAUCAGCAUCAUAAACAACUUCUUCUAGCCUCUCAAGCCAGCCUUUCACUUGACGGUUAAGUUUCUGCUGCUCCUCGGCAUCCAGAAGAACAUUGCGAAUACUAGAAACUGUGGCCUCAAGUUUCUUAAGCUCACCUUUGACGCCCCACCACAAUCCGAUCUCAUGAAGGGCUCGAGAACCCAGCUUGGUAAUGAUAUCUCC